rnacentral:rRNA from 1 species
AACGAACGCUGGCGGCAUGCCUAACACAUGCAAGUCGAACGAGACCUUCGGGUCUAGUGGCGCACGGGUGCGUAACGCGUGGGAACCUGCCCUUAGGUUCGGAAUAACUCCCCGAAAGGGGUGCUAAUACCGGAUAAUGUCUUCGGACCAAAGAUUUAUCGCCUUUGGAUGGGCCCGCGUUGGAUUAGCUAGUUGGUAGGGUAAAAGCCUACCAAGGCGACGAUCCAUAGCUGGUCUGAGAGGAUGAUCAGCCACACUGGGACUGAGACACGGCCCAGACCCCUCGGGGAGGCAGCAGGGGGGAAAUUGGGAAAAGGGGCGAAAGCCUGACCCAGCAAUGCCGGGUGGGUGAUGAAGGCCUUAGGGUGGUAAAGCUCUUUUACCCGGGAUGAUAAGGACAGUACCGGGAAAAAAAGCCCCGGCUAACUCCGG